AGAGCUUGUGCAGGAAAUCCUUGCGCCGGUCCGCGAUGCGGGCCUGAAUACGGGCCGCCUUCAACAUGGCCCUGCGGUGAUUGUUGCUUCCUUUCCGUUUGCGCGCCAGAUCGCGUUGCGCUUUCCCCAGGCGCUUGGCGUUCCUCUUGCGCAGCCCCGGGUUGUCGAUUUUCUCGCCGGUGGAGAGCGUGGCGAAGGAUUCCACGCCCAUGUCGACGCCGACCUUGCCUUCGGCUUUUGGCAACGCGGUGACGUGUUCCUCCACGAGGAUGCUCACAUGCCAGCGGCCAGCCGAAUCCAAGGAUAUGGUCACGUUGACCGGGUAUGCGCCGUCCGGCAACGGACGGCUCCAAUGGAUGUCGAGCGGCUUGUCCAUCUUGGCGAGCCUGAGAGUGCGGCCGUCCCAUGUGAACGCGCUACGAACGAACGUGGCGGCUCCGCCACGGGACUUCUUCUUGAACCUCGGAUAAUCCGCAGUACCGUCGAAGAAAUUGGAGAACGCCGCUUGCAAGUGGCGCAACGACUGCUGAAGCGCAACUGAAGACACUUCCCUGAGGAAGGCCAGCUCUUCG
rnacentral:antisense_RNA from 1 species